AGUAAGUUCCACAUUUUGCACUCUCUCGUCUCUUAACCUCUUCUCCUUCUCUCAAACGCGUGAUUUACCUCUGCCUCCACCGUCCUUGCCCCCGCCGGAGCCGUCCUUGCCGCUCUUGUUUUUUGUUCCUUCGUGCACGGUUCUUGCCCUCUUAACCUCUGCUCCAUCUCUCAAAAGCUUGUUGCACCUCGUCUCGUGCCUCCACCAUCCUUGCCGCCGCCGGAGCCGUCCUUGUCGCUGCCUCCAUCCCUGCUGCGUCGUUGCCGCUCUUGUUUUGUGUCCCUUAGUGCACGGUUCGUUGCCCUGUUCUUAGAGUUCAAAAGCACUCCAUUGUUCCUCUCCUCAAGCAAUUUUCUUCUUCCUCAUAAGGAAAUACUUUGAUCUGGGUUGUGAAGGUUCAUCGAUCAACUUCUGGUAGGAGUGUUCCCAAAGCAAAACAAAACUAUGUUCUGUGGGAUAUUAUCGAGUGCCCUCGUUAGACUAAUAAUGUUGAUUGAGGAUAUUAUGUGAUGAAGUUCAUGAAAGAUAUAAUCACUCACCAACAACUUAUGAUCCCAACGAGGUAUUUUGAUGAUUAUCAGUUCAAAUCCUAUGAUGGAGAGCAAUUGCGUGAAGUUAAAGAUGAGUGGGUCGCUUAUGUAUUUAACAAUUUUUUUUAGUAGUUAAUCUAUUAGAUAACUAUUAGAUAGUGGUAGAUGAAGUUUAAGGACGUGGUUGAUUAUGCACUUUAGAAAUUGUUUCAGAUUUAUGAAGCUUUUGUAUAUAUAUAUUGGUAGAUAUGCUGAAGUUUAGAGAAAAAGAAGCUUUAAGGACGUGGUAUGAAGCUUUUGUAGAAAUUGUUUCAAUUUUAUGAUUGAAUGUUGAUAUAGUUUUAGAAA